rnacentral:lncRNA from 1 species
UGUGAUUUAAAAAAAUUAUAUUCAUGCAUGCAAAGUUUCUGUUUUUCAGCAGAAUCAAAUCAACUAUCAUCGUAGGUUAUCCUAUAGGUUCUACUUGGCACAAACACUAAUUAAAAGAUAAAAACACAUCUAAACAGAAGGUAGAUGCAAGAUUUAUUAAAUAACAGCAAGGAAAAAUAUUGGGUUGCCUCCCAACAAGCGCUUUUCUUUAAAGCCUUUUUAGCUAGGCAUUGAGAUUUCAAUGAUGCUCACAUGAAAGACAAGAAUUGAAGCACAAAGAGAGCAUCAUAAAACAUGUUACAAACACAUCUAAGUCUAACAUACUUCCUAUGCAUAGGCAUAUUAUAAGCAAACAAAUUUGCAAGGCAAGCAAAAACUAGUAUACCCAAGGAAGAAGAAAGAGACGAUAGCAAUCUCAACAUGACGAGAGGUAAUUUAAUAAGAAAAAAAUUAUACGACCAUAUUUUCCUCUCUCAUAAUAAUUACAUGAAGGAUCAUAGGCAAAUUCAACAAAAUAGCUAUCACAAAACAUAUUCUCAACAUGAUCCACAUGCAUGUAAAGUUGACACUCUUCCAAAAUAGUGGGAUUAUCAUUAACUAAAGUCAUGACCUCUCCAAACCCAGUUUUAUCAAAAAUAUCAUAAGAUUGAACAUUCUCCAAAUAUGUGGGAUCUAAAGUUGACACUCUUCCAAACCAACUUUCAAUAUUGUUGCAGACACUAUUAUCAAUCUCAUAAUCAUCAUGGGGUUUAGAUAAAUUUUCAAGGUUAUAAGAAGAAUCACCCCAAUCAUGAUCAUUGAAACAAGUAGUAGACAUAGCAAAACUAGCAUCCCCAAGCUUAGGGUUUUGCAUAUUAUUAGCAUAAUUGACAUCAAGAGAAUUUAUAGUAAAAUCAUUGCAAUCAUGCUUUUUAUUCAAAGAUAUCGUGAAUCACUUCAUAAAGUAUGUCAUCACAAUUUUUAGAUUCACUGAUUUCAAGCAAAACUUCAUAAAGAUAAUCUAGUGCACAAAACUCACUAGCAAUUGGUUCAUCAUAAUUGGAUCUCUUAAAAAGAUUAGCAAGCGGAUGAGGAUCCAUAGAUCUUAGGUUCUCUGUUUAGCAAUAAAUAAGCAUCUAAUCCAACCAAACAAGCAAACGAAAGGGCAAGCAAAAGAGAGAAGGAGAUUGGGAAAGAGAGGGCAAAUAAAACGGCAAGGGUGAAGUGGGGGGAGGAAAACGAGAUGAAAAUGGAAAAUAAUGUAAAUGCGAGGGAGAUGGGUUUGUGAUGGGUACUUGGUAUGUCUUGACUUGAGCGAAGACCUCCCCGGCAACGGCGCCAGAAAUCGCAUGUUGGCGGGAGGUCAAAUCUUGACUUGACUUGGUGGAAGCCUCCCCGGCAACGGCGCCAGAAAUCCUUCUUGCUACGUCUUGAGCGUGCGUUGGUUUUCCUCGAAGAGGAGAGGGUGAUGCAGCAAGUGUAGCGUAAGUAUUUCCCUCAGUUUUGAGAACCAAGGUUUCAAUCCAGUAGGAGGCUCCUCAAAAGUCCCACGCACCUACACAAACAAACUGAGAACUCGCAACCAACGCAAUAAAGGGGUUGUCAAUCCCUUCACGGCCACUUGCGAAAGUGGGAUCUAAUAAAGAUAGUAUGAUAAGAUAAAUAUAUUUUUGGUAUUUUAUAAUAUAGAUGCAAAAAGUAAAGAUGCAAAUAAAGGCAGAUUGAAAGCAAAUAUGAUAAGAUAUAGACCCGGGGGCCAUAGGUUUCACUAGAGGCUUCUCUCAAGAUAGCAUAAGUAUUACGGUGGGUGAACAAAUUACUGUCGAGCAAUUGAUAGAAAAGUGCAUAGUUAUGAGAUUAUCUAGGCAUGAUCAUGUAUAUAGGCAUCACGUCCUUAACAAGUAGACUGACUCCUACCUGCAUCUACUAUAAUUACUCCACACAUUGACCAACUCCUGCCUGCAUCUAGAGUAUUAAGUUCAUAAGAACAGAGUAACGCAUUAAGCAAGAUGACAUGAUGUAGAGGGAUAAACUCAAGCAAUAUGAUAUAAACCCCAUCUUGUUAUCCUCGAUGGCAACAAUACAAUACGUGCCUUGCAACCCUUUUUGUCACUGGGUAAGGACACCGCAAGAUUGAACCCAAAGCUAAGCACUUCUCCCAUGGCAAGAAAGACCAAUCUAGUAGGCCAAACCAAACUAAUAAUUCGAAGAGACUUGCAAAGAUAACUCAAUCAUACAUAAAAGAAUUCAGAGAAGAUUCAAAUAUUAUUCAUAGAUAAACUUGAUCAUAAACCCACAAUUCAUCGGAUCUCGACAAACACACCGCAAAAUGAGGAGCGGUUUUCGCCCACACGAUCGUGAUCGAACGGCGGAGAGCAUGGAGGGGGUUUAGAUGGGCUCAUGGGCUGUGGUGGAAAGGGGCUGGGCUGCAAAGAGAGAGGAGUCUCGGGUUACGCGGUUAACCGUUGGGGCAUCAAACGACCUCCAAAUGGAACAAAAUUUGACGGGCGGUCUACCAUUGAUAUACCAAGGCCACUCAGCAAAUCUCGGUCCAUUCCGAGAAGGUUUUUCUCCCGCUCACGAAACAAGGUCUGAGAGGUGCGACGGGCGCGUGCGAGUGUGUCUGUGCUCAGAACGGACAACAGAGAGAACUAGGGGAACCCGAAUGGAUGCAUGUUUUGAAAAACAUGCAGAUGAAAUGCAGAUGAUGACAUGGCAAAAUGCAACACACAAGCAAAUACAAGGCAACAACGACGAAUAACUGGAAGACACCUAGCACAUCGGAUCCGGGGCAUUACAUGUGGCCCCGCGGAUGUCCUCGGCAAGGGCCUUGUCGGGGCCCCGGCAAGGGUCUUGUCAUGGUGUUAUGGUUGUCCCCGGCAAGGAUCUUGUCGGGGGUCUUGUGGGUUCCCUCGACAAGGAUCUCGCCGAGGUUUGUCGUCUUCUAAUUCUUAUCUGAUUUGGAGUGCUUCUUGUCUUCACAAAGAUCUACAUGCCAUCAUGGAGACGCCCCCCGAGUCGUGGUCCCAACGUGGUUGGUGGCGUUGGAAACCCCGGGGCUCAAGGAUGGCGCACUCCGCCGGCAUUGGGUAAGCUGCCCCGGAAAGGUCCUUGCCGGGGCUGUGGCCGCCCCGGCAAGGGUCUUGCUAGGGGAGCCCACCUCGCCCUCUUGCUUCUUCGUUUCUCUGCCCUGGCGUUGCUUUGACCAUCUGGUGGUUUUGAUUCCUCCCUCUGCUCUGCUAAGUGUGGCCGUGGGUGUGGCUCUGACUGCCCGUGCACAAGUAAGGGGUACAAAGGAGUGCCCCUACUUUAGUACACCGACACUACUGGUCUUGUUGACCAUCAACACUUGAUGCUCCUUUUUGAUUUCUACCUCUGCGGCCUUUAGCAUCGCGAAGAGCUCGGGAAUAGUCUUGUCCAUACCUUGCAUAUUAUAGUUCAUCAUGAAGCCUUUAUAGCUUGGUGGUAGUGAUUGAAGAACUCUAUCAAUGACACAAUCAACUGGAAGAUCAACUCCCAGCUGAGUCAAGUGAUUAUGAUACCCAGAAAUUUGGAGUAUGUGUUCACUGAUAGAACUAUUCUCCUCCAUUUCGCAGCUGUAGAACUUGUUGGAGACUUCAUAUCUUUGAACUCGAGAAUUUUCUUGAAAUAUUAAGCUCAAUUCUUGGAACAUCUCAUAUGCCCCAUGAUGUUCAAAAUGUCUUUGAAGUCCCAAUUCUAAGCCGUAAAGCAUGGCACACAGUACUAUCGAGUAGUCAUCAGCUUUGCUCUGCCAGACAUUCUUAACAUCAUCAGUAGCAUCUGCAGCAGGCCUGACACCUAGCGGUGCUUCCAGGAUGUAAUUCUUCUAUGCAACAAUGAGGAUAAUCCUCAAGUUACGGACCCAAUUCGUGUAGUUGCUACAAUCAUCUUUCAACUUAGCUUUCUCAAGGAAUGCAUUGAAAUUCAAAGGAACGGUAGCACGGGCCAUUGAUCUACAAUAACAUAGACAUGCAAAAUACUAUGAGGUACUAAGUUCAUGAUAAAUUAAAGUUUAAUUAAUCAUAUUACUUAAAAACUCCCACUUAGAUAGACAUCCCUCUAAUCAUCUAAGUGAUCACGUGAUCCAAAUCAACUAAACCAUGUCCGAUCAUCACGUGAGAUGGAGUAGUUUUCAAUGGUGAACAUCACUAUGUUGAUCAUAUCUACUAUAUGAUUCACGCUCGACCUUUCGAUCUCAGUGUUCUGAGGCCAUAUCUGCAUAUGCUUGGCUCGUCAAGUUUAACCCGAGUAUUCUGUGUGUGCAAAACUAGCUUGCACCCGUUGUAUGUGAACGUAGAGCUUAUCACAACCGAUCAUCACGUGGUGUCUCGGCACGACGAACUAUAGCAACGGUGCAUACUCAGGGAGAACACUUGUACUUCGAAAUUUAGUAAGGGGUCAUCUUAUAAUGCUACCGAUGUUCUAAGCAAAAUAAGAUGCAUAAAGGAUAAACAUCACAUGCAAUCAAAAUAUGUGACAUGAUAUGGCCAUCAUCAUCUUGUUCUCAUGAUCUCCAUCACCAAAUCAUCGUCAUGAUCUCCAUUGUCACCGGCGCGACACCUUGAUCUCCAUCGUAGCAUCGUUGUCGUUUCGCCAACUAUUGUUACUACGACUAUCGCUACCGCUUAGUGAUAAAGUAAAACAAUUACAUGGUGAUUGCAUUGCAUACAAUAAAUCGACAACCAUAUGGCUCCUACUAGUUGAUGAUAACUUUGUUACAAAACAUGAUCAUCCCAUACAACAAUUUAUAUCACAUCAUGCCUUGACCAUAUCACAUCACAGCAAGCCCUGCAAAAACAAGUUAGACGUCCUCUACUUUGUUGUUGCAAGUUUUACGUGGCUGCUACGGGCUUCUAGCAAGAACCGUUCUUACCUAUGCAUCAAAACCACAACGAUUUUUUGUCAAGUGUGAUGUUUUAACAUUCAACAAGGACCGAGCGUAGCCACACUCGAUUCAACUAAAGUUGGAGAAACAGACACUCACCAGCCACCUAUGUGUGAAGCACGUCGGUAGAACCAGUCUCGCGUAAGUGUAUGCGUAGUGUCGGUCUGAGCCUCUUCAUCCAACAAUACCGCUGAAUCAAAGGAUGAUAUGCUGGUAAGCAAUAUGACUAUUAUUGCCCACAACUCUUUGUGUUCUACUUGUGCAUAUAACAUCUAUGCAUAAACCUAGCUCGGAUGCCACUGUUGGGGAACGCAGUAAUUUCAAAAAAAUUCCUACAAUCAUGCAAGGUCUAUCUCUAGGUGAUGCAUAGCAACAAGAGGGCAGAGUGUUGUCUACGUACCCUCGUAGACCGAAAGUGGAAGCGUUAUGACAAUGCGGUUGAUGUAGUCGUACGUCUUCACAAUCCGACCGAUCCUAGCACCGAAGGUACGGAACCUCCGCGAUCUGCACACGUUCAGCUUAGUGACGUCCCAUGAACUCUAGAUCCAGCUGAGGUCGAGGGAGAGUUUCGUCAGCAUGACGGCAUGGUGAUAGUGAUGAUGAAGUUACCGGUGAAGGGCUUUGCCUAUGCACUACGAUGAUAUGGCCGAGGUGGAUAUCUGUGGAGGGGGGCACCGCACACGGCUAAAACAAUUGUCAAUUUGUGUGUCUUUGGGGUGCCCCCCUCCCCCGUAUAUAAAGGAGUGGAGGAGAAGGAGGGCCGGCCCUCUAUGGCGUGCCCAAGGGGGGGAGUCCCACUCCCAGUAGGAGUACGUCUCCCCCUUCCCAAGUUGGAGUAGGAGAAGAACCAAGAGGGAGAGGGAGAGAAGGAACGGGGGGUCGGGCCCCCUCCCAUUUGGGAUUCGGCUUGGGGGGUGCCCCCACCUUGGCCGCCUCCUCCUCUCAUCCACUAUGGCCCAUUAAAGCCCAUUGACUCCCCGGGGGGUUCCGGUACCCUCCUGGUACUCCGGAAAAAUGCCCGAACCUCUCGAAACCUUUCCGGUGUCCAAACAUAGCCUUCCAAUAUAUCGAUCUUUAUGUCUCGGCCAUUUUGAGACUCCUCGUCAUGUCCGCUAUCACAUCAGGGACUCCUAACAACCUUCGGUACAUCAAAACACAUAAACUGAUAAUACCAAUCGUCAUCAAACGUUAAGCGUGCGGACCCUACGGGUUCGAGAACUAAGUAGACAUGACAGAGACAUGUCUCCGAUCAAUAACCAAUAGUGCAACCUGGAUUCUCAUAUUGGUUCCUAGAUAUUCUACGAAUAUCUUUAUCGGUCAAACCGCAUAACAACAUAUGUUGUUCCCUUUGUCAUCGGUAUGUUACUUGCCCGAGAUUCAAUCGUCGGUAUCAUCAUACCUGGUUCAAUCUCGUUACCGGCAAGUCUCUUUACUCGUUCCCUAAUACUUCAUCCCUUAACUAACUCAUUAUUCACAAUGCUUGCAAGGCUUAUAGUGAUGAGUAUUGCCGAGUGGGCACAGAGAUACCUCUCCGAAACACGGAGUGACAAAUCCCAAUAUCGAUCUAUGCCAACCCAACAAACACCUUUGGAGACACCUGUAGAGCACCUUUGUAAUCACCCAUUUACAUUGUGACAUUUGGUAGCACACAAAGUGUUCCUCCAGUAUUUGGGAGUUGCAUAGUCUCAUAGUCUGAGGAACUUGUAUAAGUCAUGAAGAAAGCAGUAGCAAUGAAACUAACACGAUCAUAAUGCUAACCUAACGGAUGGGUCAUGUCCAUCACAUCAUUCUCCUAAUGAUGUGAUCCCGUUCAUCAAAUGAAAACACAUGUCUAUGGUUAGGAAACAUAACCAUCUUUGAUUAACGAGCUAGUCAAGUAGAGGCAUACUAGGGACUAUAUGUUUUGUCUAUAUAUCCACACAUGUACUAAGUUUCCGGUUAAUACAAUUAUAGCAUGAAUAAUAAACGUUUCUCAUGAAUUAAGGAAAUAAAUAAUAACUUUAUUAUUUCCUCUAGGGCAUAUUUCCUUUAAAGACUUGUUAAGGUCUUUGAAAUCGACACACAGGCACCAGGAUUUAUCCUUUUUAGGUAGCAUGACCAGGUUUGCUAGCCAGUCUGGAUGUUUGAUCUCUCUGAUGAACCCGGCUUCGAGUAGCUUGGCUAGCUCCUCCCCCAUGGCUUGUCGUUUGGGCUCAGAAAAUCGACGAAGGGUUUGUUUGACUAGUUUGUAUCCUUUCAAUAUAUUGAGACUAUGCUCGGCCAGUCUUCGUGGGAUACUUGGUAUAUCGGAAGGAUGCCAGGAAAAAAUGUCCCAGCUUUCACGCAAGAAUGUGCGUAGUGUGGCGUUCAUCGUUGGAUCCAGCUGUGCCCCAAUGGAAGUUGUUUUAUUGGGGUCUGUUCGGUGGACUUGAAAUUUGACUAUCUCAUCAGCCGGCUUGAAGGCGGUAGACUUUGGUCUCUUAUCGAGGAUUACGUCAUCCCUAUCUACUGUGGAACAUAGAGUGGUCAAUUCAUCAGCCGCGAGGGCCUCGGAUAACGCCUCAAGGGCCAGAGAUGCGGUUUUGUUUUCGGCUCGAAGGGCGAUGUUCGGAUCGCUGGAUAUAGUGAUGAUUCCAUUGGGCCCGUGCAUUUUGAGCUUCAUAUACCCAUAAUGGGGUACGGCUUGGAAGCGCGUGAAUGCGUCUCGCCCCAGCAAAGCAUGAUACCCGCUAUUGAAUGGUGCCACAUCGAAGAGUAGCUCUUCGGACCUAUAAUUCUCCAGUGUGUCGAAUACCACAUCGAAUUUGAUUUUUCCUGAGCAUCUGGCUUCUUGGCUGGGAUAAUACCGCAAAAGGUUGUGUUACUUUGCUCAAUGCGACCCCUGUCCAUUUGCAUUUUAUUGAGCAUGUCCUCAUAAAUGAGGUUCAGUCUGCUGCCGCCAUCCAUGAGCACUUUAGUGAGGUGGAAGCCGUCUACAAUUGGGUUUAGGAUCAAAGCGUCUGGUGCCCGGUCUGAGCGGCCUCUUGGAUCGUCAUCGGUGUUAAAAGUGAUAGCCGUGUCGUUCCAAGGGCUUACUGCUGCCAUGUGGCAGACUUCGGCGAGGUCGCGGAGCGCCCUCUUGCGCCGAUUAUUCGAUGGAAAUGUCUCGAAGACCGUGAAUACUUUGGAUCGUUAUCCUCCAAAGAAUAGUUCUCUAGAGUGUUCUUAGUAAGGAGACCCUCGCCGCAUUUGGCCACCUGCUGGAGUAUCCAACAUGCUCGAAGGCUAUGCUUUGGUUCGUUGUCCGGUGUCACGUGAAUUUUGCAGGGUUUGUCGAGCUAUUCCUCGAGGACAGUUUUAUGCCCCGUAAUGGGUUUAAUUUUCUUGUCCACGGGAUGAUGAUUAGGUGCUCCGCGGGGGUGCGUCCUCUUUGCCCGUCCUGGGGAAGGCCUAAAGGCUUGUGGUUCCCAGUGGGUUGUCUGGGUUUUCCCGGUGCUUUCCAUUGUGCAAUACUUCUAUACUAUGUGUGCCAAACAGGCAAAGUGCAGUAUGCGACGAUGGUUGAGGCUGUUCAGGAUCCCUUCAUCUGUGCAAUUGUUGCAAAAUACUGAGAUCACGUUGUCAUCGCAGCAGUCCUUGAUCUUAUUUUUAACAAGCAGGAAUAUAGCCCAAAACUGGUUGACUGUUUCCUGGGGCUGUUGUCGCACAUACAUUAAGUCGCAUAUGUCCGGAGGACCAGAGUUGCUUGGGGAAUAUUGUUUGUGGUGGGUGGGUGGGAUCGAAUCCGAACCCUGACCUGCUGAGGAGUCCAGAUUCCGAAGAAUUUCCGAGGUUAAAGGCCUGGGCUCUGGAGCAUCCAGUGUGUUUUUAGGCUCAGUGCCCGAUUCCAUGUUCCGAGGACAAGAAGUGUCUUUCAGAAGAGGAGAGUUCGGCUCUUUGGGUUCGGAAACCCGAACAUACGUUAUCCUCAACGUGGGAGAAGAAUCAUCGUCAGCUUGUUCCUCCAUGAUUGCCACGUGAAGGGUGAUCGGCGGAGAUCUGAUUUCUCUCUGAUCGGGUUUAAGCCCAAUCCGAUCGUAGUCGGUUGCGACCCCCAGGGCGGCAAUGUGAUCUAGCAGUUCGUUUAAGGCCGAAACAUUUGCCGGAUCCAACUUGUCGGAGUAUUCAGGGCCGAUAUGGAGGCGAUUUUUGGCAAUGAGUUGGGCUGCUUCUGGCUUAAUGGCCGGGUAAACGCCCAUAAUGAAGCUGCCAAGUCGGAGAGUUUUCCCUGAAACCACGGCCUCUCUGGAAGUGAUGUUGUCUUUAAUACAAGGCGGGCCAUCAAUGUUCUGUCGAUGGCACAGAGGAACUCUCAAUGAAAGCACCAAUGCCGGUGUCAAAACCGGCAGAUCUCGGGUAAGGGGUCCUGAAUUGUGCGUAUAGGGAUCGAAGGUAACAAGGAGGCAGGGGACACGAUGUUUACCCAGGUUUGGGCCCUCUUAAUGGAGGUAAUACCCUACUCCUGCUUGAUUGACUAUGGUGAAUAUAGGGGUUACAAGAGUUGAUCUACCUCGAGAUCAUAAUGGCUAAACCCUGGAUGUCUAGAUGUAUGAUUGUGAUUGUCCCUAUAUACUAAACCCUCCGGUUUAUAUAGGCACCGGAGGGGACUAGGGGUGUACAAAGUCGGUUUACAGAGGAAGGAAACUAUUCAUCUGGACGCCAAGCUUGCCGUCCAUGCAAAGGAGAGUCCCAUCCGGACACGGGAGGAGGCCUUCUGUUCUUGUAUCUUCACAGCCUGUUAGUCCGGUCCAUGUCACAUAGGCCGGCUUCCUGAGGACCCCAUAAUCUAGGACUCCCUCACCAAGCGCCAAGGCAACAGGAGUUCAUCGCCCAGGAAAUUUGCAAUCUGCGGGAAGCUCGGCCCAUCUGUGGCGAGCACCGUCCAACGCAUCCCGCCAACCCAGUUGUCGUCCCCAAGGAGGGCGGCAAGGUCUGCAUGUGUGUCGAGUUCACGGGCCUCAACAAGGCCAGCUCCCAAGACCUCUUCUGGCCGUCACGUGUCAGCCUGAGCAGGGGCCUCGCCACCAACUACACCCGCAUGCCCUUCGGCCUAGAGAACACCGGUGCCACCUUCCAAAGGUUGGCGCACCUCACAAGAUUUCACCCUCUUGCGAGCCCCCAGAGCCUUAGGAGCCCGCCGGCCCCAGAGAGGCGAACCUCUGCGGCAUGCUUCAUCAAGCAGCCUGACGCUCCCACAACAACAUGUUGCUAGGUGACUUUUUGGUUUAUUCGAAAUUGAGGGUACCCCACGGGCUGCAUCAUCCUCAAGCAGUCCAGGGUCCGCCCCGGCAGCCGCCUCGCCUUUUGGUUGUGAAUUGGGUUUGGUUAUGCUUCAAUGAAUACUCGUUGCUUGCUUAACCAUGUGUUUGGUGCCUCACCAACAUUGAGAGCAUCGCACGCUUGCGGCCCUACUCUUGACCAUUCCAUGAGCCGGGUCUACUGGCACAACCCCUGUGCUUAGGUAUGUCCCUGAAGCGUCGAGAAAUCUAAGCGAUCGAGCUCUGGCUCACGGUCUUGCUCCCAUGCACGUCGCCUCACCAAGAUCCUUGGUGCCUCAUCACCUCAUGGAACAGACACGAGUAGGUCAACGAGCGUGCGUCACCCCUAUACCUCAAAACUUUUCAAGCAUGCAGUGCCCUGCUACAUCUUGAGCUUGCGUUGGUUUUCCUCAAAGAGGAGAGGGUGAUGCAGCAAUAGUAGCGUAAGUAUUUCCCUCAGUUUUUGAGAACCAAGGUAUCAAUCCAGUAGGAGGCUCCUCAAAAGUCCCACGCACCUACAAAAACAAACAAAGAACUCGCAACCAACGCAAUAAAGGGGUUGUCAAUCCCUUCACGGCCACUUGCGAAAGUGAGAUCUAAUAAAGAUAGUAUGAUAAGAUAAAUAUAUUUUGGUAUUUUGUAAUAUAGAUGCAAAAAGUAAAGAUGCAAAUAAAAGUAGAUUGGAAGCAAAUAUGAUAAGAGAUAGACCCGGGGGCCAUAGGUUUCACUAGUGGCUUCUCUCAAGAUAGCAUAAAUAUUACGGUGGGUGAACAAAUUACUGUCGAGCAAUUGAUAGAAAAGCAAAUAAUUAUGAGAUUAUCUAGGCAUGAUCAUGUAUAUAGGCAUCACAUCCGCAACAAGUAGACCGACUCCUGCCUGCAUCUACUACUAUUACUCCACACAUCGACCGAUUCCUGCCUGCAUCUAGAGUAUUAAGUUCAUAAGAACAGAGUAACGCAUUAAGCAAGAUGACAUGAUGUAGAGGGAUAAACUCAAGCAAUAUGAUAUAAACCCCAUCUUGUUAUCCUCGAUGGCAACAAUAAAAUACGUGCCUUGCAACCCUUUCUGUCACUGGGUAAGGACACCGCAAGAUUGAACCCAAAGCUAAGCACUUCUCCCAUGGCAAGAAAGAUCAAUCUAGUAGGCCAAACCAAACUGAUAAUUCGAAGAGACUUGCAAAGAUAACUCAAUCAUACAUAAAAGAAUUCAGAGAAGAUUCAAAUAUUAUUCAUAGAUAAACUUGAUCAUAAACCCACAAUUCAUCAAAUCUUGACAAACACACCGCAAAAAGAGUUUACAUCGAAUAGAUCUCCACAAGAGAGGGGGAGAACAUUGUAUUGAGAUCCAAAAAGAGAGAAGAAGCCAUCUAGCUAAUAACUAUGGAACCGUAGGUCUGUGGUAAACUACUCACAACUCAUCGGAGGGGCAAGGAUGUUGACGUAGAAGCCCUCCGUAGUCGAUUCCCCCUCCGGCAGAGUGCCGGUGAAGGCUCCAAGAUGAGAUCUCGUGGAUACAGAAGGUUACAGUGGUGGAAAUUGUGUUUUGUCUUCUCCCUAGAUGUUUUCGGGGUACACAGUUAUAUAUAGGAGGAAGAAGUACGUCGGUGGCCGCCCGAGGGGCCCACGAGACAGGGGGCACGCCCUAUAGGGGGCGGCGCCCUCCUAUCUCGUGGGAGCCUCGACUCCUUCUUGACAUGCACUCCAAGUCCUCUGGAUCACGUUCGUUCCAAAAAUCACGCUCCCGAAGGUUUCAUUAUGUUUGGACUCCGUUUGAUAUUCCUUUUCUUCAAAAUACUGAAAUAGGCAAAAAAACAGCAAUAUGGGUUGGGCCUCCGGUGAGAAGGUUAGUCCCAAAAAUGAUAUAAAUGUGUAAAAUAAAGCCCAUAAACAUCCAAAAGGGGUAAUAUAAUAGCAUGGAACAAUCCAAAAUUAUAGAUACGUUGGAGACGUAUCAAGCAUCCCCAAGCUUAAUUCCUGCUCGUCCUCGAGUAGGUAAAUGAUAAAAAAGAAAUUUUUGAUGUGGAAUGCUACCUAGUAUAAUUCUCAAUGUAAUUUUCUUUAUUGUGGCAUGAAUGUUCAGAUCCAAAUGAUUCAAAAUAAAAGUUCAUAUUGAUAAAAGAAAUAGUAACACUUAAAGCAUACUAAUCAAAGUAAUCAUGUCUUCUCAAAAUAACAUGGCAAAAGAAUGUUCAUCCCUAAAAAAUCAUAUAGUUAGGCUAUGCUUCAUUUUCGUCACACAAAGAUGUUCCCAACUUCUAUACCCCCAAUGACAAGCCAAGCAAUUGUUUUAUACUUAAAUAAUCUCAAACUUUUUCAACCUUCACGCAAUACAUGAGCGUGAGCCAUGGAUAUAGCACUAUGAGUGGAAUAGAAUAUGAUGAUGGGGAUUGUGUGGAGAAGACAAAAAGAGAAAGUCUCGGAUUGACGAGGGUAAUCAACGGGCUAUGGAGAUGCCCAUUAAUUGAUGUCAACAUGAGGAGUAGGGAUUGCCAUGCAACGGAUGCACUAGAGCUAUGAAUGUAUGCUCAACAAAAGAAAACUAGUGGGUGUGCAUCCAACUUGCUUGCUCACGAAGACCUAGGGCAUUUGAGGAAGCCCAUCGUAGGAAUAUACAAGCCAAGUUCUAUAAUGAAAAAUUCCCACUAGUAUGAAAAAGACAACUUAUGAGACUCACUAUAUGAAAAACAUGGAGCUACUUUGAAGCACAAUAUAUGAGACUCACUACAUGAAGAACAAGGUGCUACUUUGAAGCACAAGUGUGGUAGAUAGUAACAUUGCCCUUUUUAUUUAUUUUCUUUUUUUCUUCUUCUUUUUUUGGGCCUUUCUUUUUUUGGCCUUUCUUCCCUUUUUUUCUUUGGGCAAUGUUUUAAUAAUGAUGAUCAUCACACUUCUAUUGAUUACUCCCUCCGUUCCUUGAUAUAAGGUGUAUAGAUUUUUGAGAAAAAUCUGAAAUAUAAGGUGUAUCUCGUUCCACCACUCGUUUGGAUAAUGUUUUUUAGGGAUUUGAUUACAUUUCCUUAUAUGAUGCAAGCUCCUCUAUUUUUUCUUGUCAAUUAGUCAGGUGCAAUCUCGCCCAAAACUUGUGAAAUUUUCCCUCCGCGAGCGUUCUUUAAUUUCUGUGCCAAAAACUAUACACCCUAUAUUUAGGAACGGAGGGAGUACAACAUAUGAAUUACAACUCGAAACUAGAACAAGAUAUGACUCUAUAUGAAUUCCUCCGGCGGAGUACCGGGAUGAUGCAAUGAAUCAAGAGUGACAUGUAUGAAAAAUAAUGCACGGUGGCUUUGCCACAAAUACGAUGUCAACUACAUGAUCAUGCAAUGGCAAUAUGACAAAAGUAAUGUAUGUCAUGAUGAUGAUGAACGGAACGGUGGAAAGUUGCAUGGCAAUAUAUCUCGGAAUGGCUAUGGAAAUGCCGUAAUAGGUAGGUAUGGUGCUGUUUUGAGGAAGAUAUAAGGAGGUUUAUGUGUGAUAGAGCGUAUCGUAUCACGGGGUAUGGAUGCACCGGCGAAGUUUGCACCAACUCUCAAGGUGAGAAAGGGCAAUGCACGGUACCGAAGAGGCUAGCAAUGGCGGAAAUGUAAAAGUGUGUAUAAUCCAUGGACUCAACAUUAGUCAAAAGAACUCAUAUACUUAUUGCAAAAAUUUAGAAGUCAUCAAAAAUCAAGCACUACGUGCAUGCUCCUAGGGGGAUAGAUUGGUAGGAAAAGACCAUCGCUCGUCCCCGACCGCCACUCAUAAGGAUGCACAAGCCAGGUACACUUCAUGUUUCAAAUUUGUUACACAACUUUAACCAUACGUGCAUGCUAUGGGACUUGCUAACUUCAACAAAAGCAUUCUUUAAAUUCAUAAUCACCCAACUAGCAUGAAUUUAAUAUCACUACCUCCAUAUCUCAAAACAAUUAUCAAGUAUCAAAUUGAUCAUAGCAUCCAAUUCAUUUCCUAUGAUAGUUUUUAUUAUACCCAACUUGGAUGCCUACCAUUCUAGGACCAAUUUUAUAACCAUAGAAAAUACCAUGCUGUUCUAAAAGACUCUCAAAAAGAUAUAAGUGAAGCAUUAGAGACUAAUAAUUUCUUCAAAAUUAAGACAUCACCGUGCUCUAAAAGGUAUAAGUGAAGCACUAGAGCAAAAACUAUCAAGCUCAAAAGAUAUAAGUGAAGCACAUAGAGUAUUCUAGCAAAUUCUAAUCAAAUAGUCUUCUCCGAAAACGUGUGUACAGCAAGGAUGAUUGUGGUAAACUAAAAAGCAAAGACUAAUACAAUACACGACACUCCAAGCAAAACACAUAUCAUGUGGCGAAUAAAAAUAUAGCUCCAAGUAAAGUUACCAAUGAAAGGAGACGAAAGAGGGGAUGCCUUCCCGGGGCAUCCCCAAGCUUAGGCUUUUGUCUAUACUUGAAUAUCUUGGGGUGCGUUGGGCAUCCCCAAGCUUAGGCUCUUGCCACCCUUUAUUCCAUAGUCCAAGAAAGCUUUACCCAAAACUUGAAAACUUCACAACACAAAACUCAACAGGAAAUUUUAUAAGCUCCAUUAGUGAAAGAAAACAAAACCACCACAUAAGGUACUGUAAUGAACUCAUUAUUUAUUUAUUUUUGUGUUAAACCUACUGUAUUCCAACUUCUCUAUGGUUUAUAAACUAAUUUACUAGCCAUAGAUGCAUCAAAAUAAGCAAACAACACACGAAAAACAGAAUCUGUCAAAAAUAGAACAGUCUGUAGCAAUCUGUAACUAACACAAAAUUCUGGAACUCUAAAAAUCCUACCAAAAAAGGAAGUCCUGGACAAUUUGUUUAUUGAUCAGCAGCAAAAGAAUCAACGCAAAAGCACGUUCUUGUGAUUUAACAAAAUUAUAUUCAUGCGCGCAAAGUUCCUUUUUUUCAGCAGAAUCAAAUCAACUAACAUCAUAGGUUAUCCUAUAGGUUCUACUUGGCACAAACACUACUUAAAAGAUAAAAACACAUCUAAACAGAAGGUAGAUACAAGAUUUAUUACUAAACAGGAGCAAAAACAAAAAACAUAAAGAAAAUUGGGUUGCCUCCCAACUAGCGCUAUCGUUUAACGCCCCUAGCUAGGCAUAAAAG